GACGAACGCUGGCGGCGUGCUUAACACAUGCAAGUCGAACGGCAAGGCCUGCUUUCCCUUGUGGUUUGCGGGUACUCGAGUGGCGAACGGGUGAGUAACACGUGAGUGACCUGCCCCCAACUUGGGUAUAAGCCUGGGAAACUGGGUCUAAUCCUCGAUAGGACUGCAGGGUGGUGCCUGUGGUGGAAAACGAUUCUCUUGUGGGUGGGGAUGAGCUCGCGGCCUAUCAGCUUGUUGGAGGGGUAAUGGCCCACCAAGGCGGCGACGGGUAGCCGGCCUGGGAGGGGGGACAGCGACAUUGGGACUGGGAUACGGCCCAGACGCCUACGAGAGGCAGCAGUGAGGAAUAUUGGACAAUGGGCGGAAGCCUGAUGCAGCGACGCCGCGUGGAGGAUGACGGCCUUCGGGUUGUAAGCUCCUUGCGACCACGAGGAGGCCACCUGGUUGGAGGUGUGGUGACGGUAGUGGUAGAAGAAGCACCGGCUAACUACGUG
rnacentral:rRNA from 1 species